AGACGGAGGGGGCUAGCGUUGUUCGGAAUUACUGGGCGUAAAGGGCGCGUAGGCGGAUUGUCAAGUCAGAGGUGAAAGCCCUGGGCUCAACCCGGGAACUGCCUUUGAAACUAACAGUCUUGAGUCCGAGAGAGGAUGGCGGAAUUCCCAGUGUAGAGGUGAAAUUCGUAGAUAUUGGGAAGAACACCAGUGGCGAAGGCGGCCAUCUGGCUCGGUACUGACGCUGAGGCGCGAAAGCGUGGGGAGCAAACAGGAUUAGAAACCCGGGUAGUCC
rnacentral:rRNA from 1 species